UAGGCUACUAUACUAUCUAUAGUACCGAGCUCCGAUACUAUAGUGUUGGUUUUCGAUCUUAGGGCGUUCAAAUCAACGAUCCACACCAUUAAAACUGAUCUAGGGUAUUUAAAGUUUCUAGAAAUAAAAUUUUAUAUUUUUUCGACAUAGUUUACUUCAUGAUCAAACUAUUUCAAAAUUGUCAAUUUUCAAUGGCUAUUAUGACGAGUUUGGAGUUUAACGGUGUAGAAA
rnacentral:lncRNA from 1 species